CGGAAUAGCUCAGUUGGUAGAGCAGAGGACUGAAAAUCCUCGUGU
rnacentral:tRNA from 1 species